GUUUGACAUUGUGUAGAAAGCCCCAAAUGUCCAAGGGAACAUUUUCAAAAUUCCCCAAGAGAACAGUGUUUUAUGAAAGAAUAGAGUCUAGUGAUCCGUAUAGCCACAGUAAGAAGCUGGGAGAGUUAAAACCAACUUUGAGGAGCCUAGCAAGAAUUGCGACACCGAUGGGUAAAAACUCGAUCUCUCCUCAUUCUUCCCUCCUUUCCUGUCCCUUCUCCUUGCUGCAUCUUCGUGAAACAGCACAGUUAUGGCAAAGGAGCUAUCCUGUACCAACACGAAGGAGAGAGUGGUAAAGGACCCCACAGAAAUGGAGGGAAUGAUAUUGACACAAAAAUGGCAACAAGAUCUAACUCCAGCGUCAAACUGAAGUAACAGCAGCUGCAGCAACUAAGGUAAGCCACCAGGAGUUGGAGUUGGGAUAACCAAAGGUGGCUUAUAGCCGGGGAACUUAAAAACCACCAUAGAGAAUUCAAGAACAAUGUUGGCAUCCCAAGGGAAAGGAGAGACUUAGGGAACAUGGCGGUUAGAACCCCUUAUGUGAAAGCAAACAAGAAGAGCUACUGAUACUGACUGGUACUUGUUUUCCCUGAAUAUUCUCUCACAAGCUGCGUGGCCGAGGGGGUUUUGGAGUACAUUUUAGUCACUAAUUCUUUGAUAGAAGGUUAUGAUUUUGGAUCCCAUUUUCUAGCCUAAGUUAGAAGAUCAAGAUUCAUUUUUCCUUCUAGGUACUUUGUCCACAAAGAGGAUAGGUAGGCUGCAAUCAGGUGAACAGUGGUGUCUUGGACCAAUAAUCUCUGAAUUCGAACCACUAGGCUGGGAGUGGUGGUUCAUGCCUGUAAUCCUGGCACUUCGGGAGGCUGAGACGGGUAGAUCACUUGAGGCCAGGAGUUCGAGACCAACCUUGCCAACAGAGUAAAACCCCAUCUCUACUAAAAAAUUUAAAAAAUUAGCCAGGCAUGCUGAUACCUGUUUCUAAUCCCAACUACUCAGGAAGCUGAGGCACGAGAAUCACUUGAACCCGGGAGAUGGAGGUUGCAGUGAGCCGAG
rnacentral:lncRNA from 10 species